UACGUAGGGAGCAAGCGUUGUCCGGAAUCAUUGGGCGUAAAGCGCGCGUAGGUGGCCCUGUAAGUCCGUUGUGAAAGUCAAAGGCUCAACCUUUGAAAGCCGAUGGAUACUGCAGGACUAGAGUACGGAAGAGGCGAGUGGAAUUCCUGGUGUAGCGGUGGAAUGCGCAGAUAUCAGGAGGAACACCAAUUGCGAAGGCAGCUCGCUGGGACGUUACUGACGCUGAGACGCGAAAGCGUGGGGAGCAAACAGG
rnacentral:rRNA from 1 species